rnacentral:rRNA from 1 species
GACGAACGCUGGCGGCGUGCCUAAUACAUGCAAGUAGGACGCAGUUGCGAACGGGUGAGUAACGCGUAGGUAACUACCUAUUAGAGGGGGAUAACUAUUGGAAACGAUAGCUAAUACCGCAUACUAGUAGAUGGACCUGCGUUGGAUUAGAUAGUAGGUCAGGUAAUGGCCUACCUAGGCAACGAUACAUAGCCGACCCUGGAGGGUGAGCGGCCCCACUGAGACUGAGUCAAGGCCCAGACGCCUACGGGAGGCAGCAGUAGGGAAACUGCGGCAAUUGGGGGAACCCUGACCGAGCCACGCCGCGUGAGUGAAGAAGGUUUUCGGAUCGGAAAGCUCUGUUGUUAAGGAAGCGGUACUUAACCAGAAAGGGACGGCUAACUACGUGCCAGCAGCCGCGGUAAUAC